AGUUAAUAACUUAGUAAAGUUUAUGUUUUGAAAACAUUUUUCAGAGGUUAAAAUCCUCUAUUAACUU
rnacentral:tRNA from 1 species